CCCGCUGAGUUUAAGCAUAUCAAUAAGCGGAGGAAAAGAAACUAACAGGGAUUCCCUUAGUCACGGCGAGCGAACCGGGAAAAGCCCAGCUUAAAAUAUGACGUCUUUGGCGUUCGAAUUGUAGUCUGGAGAAGCGUCCUCAGCGACGGACCAGGCCCAAGUUCCCUGGAAAGGGGCACCAGAGAGGGUGAGAGCCCUGUCGUGCCCGGACCUUGUUGCACCACGAGGCGCUGUCUACGAGUCGGGUUGUUUGGGAAUGCAGCCCCAAUCAGGCGGUAAAUUCUGUCCAAGGCUAAAUAUGGGCGAGAGACCGAUAGCGAACAAGUACCGCGAGGUAAAGAUGAAAAGGACUUUGAAAAGAGAGUUAAAGAGUGCUUGAAAUUGUCGGGAGGGAAGCGGAUGGGGGCCGGCGAUUCGUCCCGGUCGGAUGCGGAAUGGAGCAAUCCGGUUCGCCGAUAGAUUCGUGCAGUGGACCAACACAGAUUAAGGUGGUGACCUAAGCCCGGGCUUUUGUUACGCCCGCAGAGACGUCGCUGCCUUAAUCGUGGUCUGCAGCACACGCCUCACAGAGUGCCUCGGCAUCUGCGUGCUCAGGGUGUCGGGCUGUGGGCUCCCCAUUCGACCCGUCUUGAAACACGG
rnacentral:ncRNA from 1 species